GACGAACGCUGGCGGCGUGCCUAAUACAUGCAAGUUGAGCGAUGAAGAUUGGUGCUUGCACCAAUUUGAAGAGCAGCGAACGGGUGAGUAACGCGUGGGGAAUCUGCCUUUGAGCGGGGGACAACAUUUGGAAACGAAUGCUAAUACCGCAUAAUAACUUUAAACAUAAGUUUUAAGUUUGAAAGAUGCAAUUGCAUCACUCAAAGAUGAUCCCGCGUUGUAUUAGCUAGUUGGUGAGGUAAAGGCUCACCAAGGCGAUGAUACAUAGCCGACCUGAGAGGGUGAUCGGCCACAUUGGGACUGAGACACGGCCCAAACUCCUACGGGAGGCAGCAGUAGGGAAUCUUCGGCAAUGGACGAAAGUCUGACCGAGCAACGCCGCGUGAGUGAAGAAGGUUUUCGGAUCGUAAAACUCUGUUGGUAGAGAAGACCGUUGGUGAGAGUGGAAAGCUCAUCAAGUGACGGUAACUACCCAGAAAGGGACGGCUAACUACGUG
rnacentral:rRNA from 1 species